rnacentral:lncRNA from 1 species
UGGAGUCUGAUGACCAAGGGCAGGAAGCAUCCAGCACGGGACAAAGAAGAAAGCCAGAAGACUCAGCAAGCCAGCUCAUCUCACUUUCUUCUGCCUACUUUGUUGUAGCUGAGCUGGCAGCCAGUUGGAUGGUGCACACUCACAUUGAGGAUUGGGAGGCUGCUGUGUAUGGAUAAGAUACCUGCUACAGCCAGCUUGACACCAUGAGAAGGACAAGAGAAUUGCAGAGACACAUAUCCAGGAUUCUGAUCCAGUUGAGGCACUGAAAUAAUCUAGAACCACCUUCAAAUUUCUUAUAAAGAGAGCUAUGCUAUUAGGAUUUAAUUAAAUGGAUGCCAACAGCAAGUAAACCAUCUCCAAAGAUGCCAUGAAGCUCUCCUAAUUGCAGGAAAAUAUCAGAGGCACUUGAUUUGAGUCUUUCAAGUACGGAAAUAACAAAUUCAGUCUCAACAGACCUAUAGUGAAUGAGAAUGAUUGUCACAUAAUGUGUAGAGAAAAUGGAAGAAUCAAAGGCAAGGGAAACCUGUACAGUGGAGACACAAAGGGUCACUGGCAGAUUUCAAAUGAUCCAAGACAUCCUCAAGGAAGAUUUACCACAAGUUACUUUAUCAUAGCUUUGAGUGGCAUUUUAAUAUCAUAUUUUAAAAGAAAGAAAACAAUAGAAAUGUAUUAAAAUAUCUUCUCAAGGACAUUGAGAUCUGCUGGUUGGAGAUCUUAGUGCCCAAGGAAGAAUGCUUGCAAAAGGAGAUGGAACAGUGUUUCUGUUGCAUUGGCCACUGAGAAUAUCUGGUUAUUUUGAAUUUGUCACAGUCUGCAGCUAAAAGGCGAACAGGAAAAGAAGAGAGAGCGGUAAUUUGAAUGAUAGCAGAUUUCACAUCAGGAACCAAUGAAGCUAGAUAAGAAUGCAACAUCUUUGAUGUCUAAAAGAAACAAAAAGCCAACCUUGAAUUCUUUAUUUAGUGAAGUUACCCUUCAGAAAUGACGGCAAAAUAAAGAUGUUUUCCAAUAAAAGACAACUAUGAGAAUUCUUCACCAGCAGUCCUAUUGUAUCAGAACAGCCAAAAGAAGUUUGUCAGCCUACAGGGAAUUAUAUCAAAGGGAAGACUUGACCUUGAAAAUGAAUGAGGAAUAUAAGAAAUUGAUAUUAUCUGGGAAGCGGCACAUGAGACUAGCAGGAGUAAAUGUUAUAUACACUGGGCCUCGCAAAAAUUCUGCAAUCACUGGGAAUCAGUAACCUGGUAGAAUGAGAAAACAACGUAAUACUGAAAAAUCAAAACACCAUCCUACAGAACUUUGAUGCAUUCAGAACAAAGAUCACGAAUCAAGCUGAAAAAGUAAAGCAUUCUGUGAGUUGUGGAAUGGAAAUUGCCUCAACCAUCUCACCACUUGAUGACACUUGUAAUUUCAGUGACCCAAUUCAAGCAAUCAAACAUCAAGUAAUACUCUCAAUAAAGAUGUGUAAUUAAAACAGAAGAGGAAACAGACUAACAGAAGUGAUGAAGAAUGGCAGUUCUAAGGAUGGCAGGAAUUCACUGAAUGUCUAUCUAUCAUGUAUGCUGUUGGAGGCACCUGUCUUUCAGUUCAGAGGUUAUGGAUGUAUCUAUCAUCAGUAUUUCGGGAAGUCAGGGACCCGGAACAGAGGGACUUAAUGAAGCUGUGGCAGAAGAAAAAAUUAUGAAGAUUUCAUGGACAUUUAUUAGUUCCCCAAAUUAAUACUUUUAUAAUUUCUUACA